rnacentral:rRNA from 1 species
UACGAAGGGGGCUAGCGUUACUCGGAUUGACUGGGCGUAAAGGGCGCGUAGGCGGCUUGUACAGUCAGACGUGAAAUUCCUGGGCUCAACCUGGGGGCUGCGUUUGAUACAGCACGUCUUGAGUCCGAUAGAGGUGGGUGGAAUUCCUAGUGUAGAGGUGAAAUUCGUAGAUAUUAGGAAGAACACCGGUGGCGAAGGCGGCCCACUGGAUCGGUACUGACGCUGAGGUGCGAAAGCGUGGGGAGCGAACAGG